rnacentral:rRNA from 1 species
CCUACGGGCGGCAGCAGUGGGGAAUAUUGGACAAUGGGCGAAAGCCUGAUCCAGCCAUGCCGCGUGUGUGAAGAAGGCCUUCGGGUUGUAAAGCACUUUCAGUGGGGAAGAAAGCCUUGGGGCUAAUACCCUCGAGGAAGGACAUCACCCACAGAAGAAGCACCGGCUAACUCCGUGCCAGCAGCCGCGGUAAUACGGAGGGUGCGAGCGUUAAUCGGAAUUACUGGGCGUAAAGCGCGCGUAGGCGGUCUGAUAAGCCGGUUGUGAAAGCCCCGGGCUCAACCUGGGAACGGCAUCCGGAACUGUCAGGCUAGAGUGCAGGAGAGGAAGGUAGAAUUCCCGGUGUAGCGGUGAAAUGCGUAGAGAUCGGGAGGAAUACCAGAGGCGAAGGCGGCCUUCUGGACUGACACUGACGCUGAGGUGCGAAAGCGUGGGUAGCAAACAGGAUUAGAUACCCGUGUAGUC